rnacentral:tRNA from 2 species
GCACUGGUGGUUCAGUGGUAGAAUUCUCGCCUUCCACGCGGGAGGCCCUGGUUCGAUUCCCGGCCAGUGCA